ACCACAAACGAAGAUACAGACGGAGCAGUAAUCGUUUUUUUCGGUACCACUUUCAUUUUCACGCUUUGGCGAGCCCCUCUUGCUUUGUGUAAUUGCGCCGUAUGGUGAACCCCUUGAACGGGCGAACUGAGCGAACUGUCAAAGCGACAUGUCACCAACAUGUUUGUUUACAGUUCUGCUUUUUGCUGCCGGAAAGUUUCGAUUCGUUCUGCGAAUGAUUGAAUAUUAAUAAUUAAUAUUGUAAUUUGUUGUUUUUGGGUACGUUUUGGGAACAUUUUUGAUCCUCAUAAUGUUGCGGCAUUUUAGUACUCCACGAAAACGCAAACGAACCGGCUGGAAGCCCAAUUGAUCAUUUGUGGCUGAUAGUUCUCAGUAAAUAACAACUGGUGCGACAGGCAGUGUGAUGAUUUGGCCAAGUGGAAACGUUAUUUUGAAGCUGUUUGAAUCUGUACAAGGUUUGUUGUACAUGUUGACCAAAUCCUCUUCCAAAAAGUGCAUCGUAAAGCCAGCUUAUAGUCCAGCCAGCUUUCCGUCGACCAACUAGAAGUGAUAUCCAAUUUGCCAAAAUCAGUAACAAGGAGUCGCUGUUCACACGGUAUCUGAUCUCGAUCAAUAAAAUUCUGUGGGAAAACAAGCACUGCGAUCAUGACAUUACCCAUCUGGUGGCCCCGAAGCAGAUGGAAGAGGACACACGUUUUUACAACUUUAUCCAAUGAGGACUUGACCAACCGACAGAUUCAUGAACUGAAGGGCUUGAUCGUCAACGCUCUAGGGGGUUUUGUUCGUCAAUCGGAAAGCCGGAUCGACUGACGGCAACUGGCCC